rnacentral:rRNA from 1 species
GGGUACCUUUUUGGUGCAGCAGCCAGUCUGGGGGAGCUGCCAAAUGGCUCAUUAAAUCAGUUAUCGUUUAUUUGAUAGUACUUUACUACUUGGAUAACCGUGGUAAUUCUAGAGCUAAUACAUGCUAAAAAUCCCGACCUCCGGAAGGGAUGUAUUUAUUAGAUAAAAAACCAAUGCCUUCGGGCUCCUUGGUGAUUCAUGAUAACUUAACGAAUCGCAUGGCCUUGCGCCGGCGAUGGUUCAUUCAAAUUUCUGCCCUAUCAACUUUCGAUGGUAGGAUAGUGGCCUACCAUGGUUUCAACGGGUAACGGGGAAUUAGGGUUCGAUUCCGGAGAGGGAGCCUGAGAAACGGCUACCACAUCCAAGGAAGGCAGCAGGCGCGCAAAUUACCCAAUCCCAAUUCGGGGAGGUAGUGACAAUAAAUACUGAUACAGGGCUCUUUUGGGUCUUGUAAUUGGAAUGAGUACAAUUUAAAUCCCUUAACGAGGAACAAUUGGAGGGCAAGUCUGGUGCCC